rnacentral:sRNA from 1 species
CCCUAGCCCCGAUUGGAACGACAUCCUUUUUGGUUGCGGGCGGAGCCCGUAACCAAAAAGAUACAGCACUUCGGCAAGCUCA